UACGUAGGGUGCGAGCGUUAAUCGGAAUUACUGGGCGUAAAGCGUGCGCAGGCGGUUUUGUAAGCCGGAUGUGAAAUCCCCGGGCUUAACCUGGGAAUGGCAUUCGGGACUGCAAGGCUGGAGUGCGGCAGAGGAGACUGGAAUUCCUGGUGUAGCAGUGAAAUGCGUAGAUAUCAGGAGGAACACCGAUGGCGAAGGCAGCUCGCUGGGACGUUACUGACACUGAGGCGCGAAAGCGUGGGGAGCGAACAGG
rnacentral:rRNA from 1 species